AUUCGAACCCAGAACCUUCUUGCGGCGAAAGUGCUAACCACUACACCACCGUGCAGCCCCUGAUCCGCCAUUGCUGGAAGAAAAUCUGGUCCAUUGGAGUGAACAGAGUUGUCGCGACUCUCUUUCUCAAAGGCUCAUACUAAGUAGACACAAGAGGGCACAGAUAACGAGUCACAGGAACACUUCUGGCUGAAGCUCAUGCGCGUCUCCUUUAAACCAAAUAGUUCAAUCAUCCAAAUCACUCUGCAGAUGACAGAACAUGACGUUGUUGGAAAGUUCUCAGCUUAUUAUACACAGCAAGUCAUUUUGGGCCCGGAGCCGGAGCCUGCCUCAGUCUCUCCAUCUGCUUUGGAAACAGCUGCUGCAGUAUGCAAUAGCAAAGGAGAGGACUUCUGCUUAAAGAUUUCCUGCAGUAAACGCUGCGUUUUCUGCCCUAUGAAUAUCUCUCUUCCUGAAUCAACUAGUUGAAUUCAGCCAUGAAAUCCCGAGGACUGACAUCCGACCAUUUCUGUCCAGACCCUGAUGGUAUCAGUGCUGCAGGACAGUUACAUUCCGCAGGCCAUGUGAGAGUUUUCACGUGUAAGUCCAAACCACACAGUUUUAUUCUCACGUGAGUUACUUUAACUCUGAUUUAUACAAAAAGAAAACCAUAAUACAUCAAAGUUCAUUCCUGGGAUCCAGGACAUUUCUGAUGUCUAAGUAGGACCAUGGGAUGGUGGCCUGUGGCUACACAGUUCAAUUAAAUGUCUUAUUUUAUUGUAUUAUGUUUAUUUAUUAACCAAAUGGCUGUUGCAUUGCACAAGCUUUAUUUAGUUACUGAAUGUCUGUUGCAUGUCACUGAGACUGUCAAAUCUCAGAUAAUCCAAAACUUUACCAUCAAAUCUGCUUCUUACUG